GUGGGGAAUAUUCCGCAAUGGACGAAAGUCUGACGGAGCAACGCCGCGUGAGUGAUGAAGGUUUUCGGACUGUAAAGCUCUGUUGUUUAGGACGAAAGUGCCUGUUGCGAACAGUUACAGGUAUUGACGGUACUAAACGAGGAAGCCACGGCUAACUACGUGCCAGCAGCCGCGGUAAUACGUAGGUGGCAAGCGUUGUCCGGAAUUAUUGGGCGUAAAGAGCAUGUAGGCGGAGAUUUAAGUCUGUUGUGAAAAUGCGGGGCUCAACCCCGUAUUGCGAUGGAAACUGAAUUUCUUGAGUGCAGGAGAGGAAAGGGGAAUUCCCAGUGUAGCGGUGAAAUGCGUAGAUAUUGGGAGGAACACCAGUGGCGAAGGCGCCUUUCUGGACUGUGUCUGACGCUGAGAUGCGAAAGCCAGGGUAGCGAACGGGAUUAGAAACCCCUGUAGUCC
rnacentral:rRNA from 1 species